rnacentral:rRNA from 1 species
AGUGAACGCUGGCGGUAGGCCUAACACAUGCAAGUCGAACGGCAGCACAGGAGAGCUUGCUCUCUGGGUGGCGAGUGGCGGACGGGUGAGGAAUACAUCGGAAUCUACUCUGUCGUGGGGGAUAACGUAGGGAAACUUACGCUAAUACCGCAUACGACCUACGGGUGAAAGCAGGGGACCUUCGGGCCUUGCGCGAUUGAAUGAGCCGAUGUCGGAUUAGCUAGUUGGCGGGGUAAAGGCCCACCAAGGCGACGAUCCGUAGCUGGUCUGAGAGGAUGAUCAGCCACACUGGAACUGAGACACGGUCCAGACUCCUACGGGAGGCAGCAGUGGGGAAUAUUGGACAAUGGGCGCAAGCCUGAUCCAGCCAUACCGCGUGGGUGAAGAAGGCCUUCGGGUUGUAAAGCCCUUUUGUUGGGAAAGAAAUCCAGCUGGCUGAUACCCGGUUGGGAUGACGGUACCCAAAGAAUAAGCACCGGCUAACUUCGUGCCAGCCGCCGCAGUAACAC